GAUUAAGUUAUUAAGGGCGCACGGUGGAUGCCUUGGCACUAGAAGCCGAUGAAGGACGUUACUAACGACGAUAUGCUUUGGGGAGCUGUAAGUAAGCUUUGAUCCAGAGAUUUCCGAAUGGGGAAACCCAGCAUGAGUUAUGUCAUGUUAUCGAUAUGUGAAUACAUAGCAUAUCAGAAGGCACACCCGGAGAACUGAAACAUCUUAGUACCCGGAGGAAGAGAAAGAAAAUUCGAUUCCCUUAGUAGCGGCGAGCGAAACGGGAAGAGCCCAAACCAACAAGCUUGCUUGUUGGGGUUGUAGGACACUCUGUACGGAGUUACAAAGGACGACAUUAGACGAAUCAUCUGGAAAGAUGAAUCAAAGAAGGUAAUAAUCCUGUAGUCGAAAAUGUUGUCUCUCUUGAGUGGAUCCUGAGUACGACGGAGCACGUGAAAUUCCGUCGGAAUCUGGGAGGACCAUCUCCUAAGGCUAAAUACUCUCUAGUGACCGAUAGUGAACCAGUACCGUGAGGGAAAGGUGAAAAGCACCCCGGAAGGGGAGUGAAAUAGAACCUGAAACCGUGUGCUUACAAG
rnacentral:rRNA from 1 species